GACGAACGCUGGCGGUGUGCUUAACACAUGCAAGUGGUGCGACGAACCAGAGCUUGCUCUGGGGCAAAGCCGCGAACGGGUGAGUAACACGUGGGUAAUCUACCCCGAUGACCGGGACAACCCGAGGAAACUCGGGCUAAUACCGGAUGUGGUACGGAGACAUAAGUCUCUUUACUAAAGGUAGCUUCGGCUUCCGCAUUGGGAGGGGCCCGCGGCCCAUUAGCUAGUUGGUGGGGUCAAGGCCUACCAAGGCAACGAUGGGUAGCUGGUCUGAGAGGAUGAUCAGCCACACUGGAACUGAGACACGGUCCAGACUCCUACGGAGGCAGCAGUGGGGAAUCUUGCGCAAUGGGCGAAAGCCUGACGCAGCGACGCCGCGUGGGUGAUGAAGGCCUCGGUGUAAGACCCUGUGGGAGGGACGGAAGUAAG
rnacentral:rRNA from 1 species